CAUCAUCCUUCCUCUUGGACUUAAGUUCAAUGCAUUACUCCAGUACUGAAACAGCUGUUGCUGCUGCGCCGCCAAUGCAGAUUCCUCGGCAAAAAAUGGCGGAUAACCGAUGCCUUGCUGCUGGUUUUGAGCAAAAGAAAUCAUUUGUUGUUGAUUUUGUGCCACUUGAGGUGGUGAACGAAAAUAAUGCAAAGAUGGGUUUGUUCUAAACUGGUGAGAGAAUUGCAUAGGUUGAUUACACCCUUCAAAAGAAAAGGGAAAUAGAAGUCUUGAACUAGAAGACGAGACAGAAGAAGAAGGUGGAUGUAAAGAAAGA
rnacentral:misc_RNA from 1 species